CUGCGAGUGAAGCGGGAAAGCUCAAAUUUAAAAUCUGGUGGUCUUUGGCCAUCCGAGUUGUAAUCUAGAGAAGUGUUACCCGCGUCGGACCGUGUACAAGUCUCCUGGAAUGGAGCGUCAUAGAGGGUGAGAAUCCCGUCUUUGACACGGACUACCGAGGCUUUGUGGUGCGCUCUCAACGAGUCGAGUUGUUUGGGAAUGCAGCUCAAAAUGGGUGGUAAAUUCCAUCUAAAGCUAAAUAUUGGCGAGAGACCGAUAGCGAACAAGUACCGUGAGGGAAAGAUGAAAAGAACUUUGGAAAGAGAGUUAAACAGUACGUGAAAUUGCUGAAAGGGAAACGCUUGAAGUCAGUCGCGUUGGCCGGAAAUCAGCCUUGCUUUUGCUGGGUGUACUUUCUGGUUGACGGGCCAGCAUCAGUUUUGACCGGUGGAAAAAGUUCAAGGGAAUGUGGCAUCUUCGGAUGUGUUAUAGCCCUUGUUCGUAUACAUCGGUUGGGACUGAGGAACUCAGCACGCCGAAAGGCCGGGUC
rnacentral:rRNA from 1 species